CUGUGGACAGGCCUCUGUCUCAUCCUCAAUGGUCAGCUGAGGCAUCUGGUAAAACCUCUCCUUCUGAUCCAGAAUCUGGUACAGCUGCCAUGAUGAACAACAGCUCAAGAGGCUCUUUCCCUACCAGGGUGAUGGAUGAAGGCUAGCAAACUGUUCUCCAAGAGCCUGA